rnacentral:rRNA from 1 species
CACGUAGGGCGCAAGCGUUGUCCGGAAUCAUUGGGCGUAAAGAGCUCGUAGGCGGCUCAGUAAGUCGGGUGUGAAACCCUCAGGCUCAACCUGGGGACGCCACCCGAUACUGCUGUGGCUAGAGUCCAGUAGGGGAGUGUGGAAUUCCCGGUGUGAGCGGUGAAAUGCGCAGAUAUCGGGAGGAACACCAGCGGCGAAGGCGGCACUCUGGGCUGGUACUGACGCUGAGGAGCGAAAGCGUGGGUAGCAAACAGG